UACAGAGGUCCCAAGCGUUGUUCGGAUUCACUGGGCGUAAAGGGUGCGUAGGCGGUCGGGCAAGUCUGAUGUGAAAUCUCACAGCUUAACUGUGAAACUGCAUUGGAUACUAUCCGGCUCGAGGAAUGGAGGGGAGACUGGAAUACUUGGUGUAGCAGUGAAAUGCGUAGAUAUCAAGUGGAACGCCAGUGGCGAAGGCGAGUCUCUGGACAUUUCCUGACGCUGAGGCACGAAAGCCAGGGGAGCAAACGGG
rnacentral:rRNA from 1 species